rnacentral:rRNA from 1 species
GUGGGGGAUAACCACGGGAAAACUGUGGCUAAUACCGCAUAAUGUCUACGGACCAAAGUGUGGGAUCUUCGGACCACACGCCCAGAGAUAGGCCCAAGUGAGAUUAGCUAGUUGGUGAGGUAAUGGCUCACCAAGGCAACGAUCUCUAGCUGUUCUGAGAGGAUGAUCAGCCACACUGGGACUGAGACACGGCCCAGACUCCUACGGGAGGCAGCAGUGGGGAAUAUUGCACAAUGGGCGCAAGCCUGAUGCAGCCAUGCCGCGUGUGUGAAGAAGGCCUUCGGGUUGUAAAGCACUUUCAGUGGUGAGGAAGGGUGUGUUGUUAAUAGCAGCAUACAUUGACGUUAACCACAGAAGAAGCACCGGCUAACUCCGUGCCAGCAGCCGCGGUAAUACGGAGGGUGCGAGCGUUAAUCGGAAUUACUGGGCGUAAAGGGCACGUAGGCGGCCUGUUAAGCAAGAUGUGAAAGCCCCGGGCUCAACCUGGGAAUGGCAUUUUGAACUGGCAGGCUCGAGUUCUGAAGAGGGUGGUAGAAUUUCAGUGUAGCGGUGAAAUGCGUAGAUAUUGGAGGAAUACCGGUGGGCGAAGGCGGCCACCUGGUCAGAAACUGACGCUGAGGUGGCGA